CGGCUCUGGAGAAGCCCGGUAUACCCGGGUACCGAAGGUGAAAGGCGGCUGGCCCGCCGAAUCUCUCAGGUAAAAGGACAGAGUGAC
rnacentral:ncRNA from 1 species